GACCACGUAGCUCAGUUGGCAGAGCAUUGGGCUAGUAUUCCAAAGGUCGUAGGUUCGAUUCUCGCCAUGGUCA
rnacentral:tRNA from 1 species